CCUACUGGAGGCAGCAGUGAGGAAUAUUGGUCAAUGGACGAGAGUCUGAACCAGCCAAGUAGCGUGAAGGAUGACUGACCUAUGGGUUGUAAACUUCUUUUAUAUGGGAAUAAAACAGGGUAUGCAUACCCUCUUGUAUGUACCAUAUGAAUAAAGAUCGGCUAACUACGUGCCAGCAGCCGCGGUAAUACGGAGGAGCCGAGCGUUAUACGGAUUGAUGUGGUUUAAAGGGAGCGUAGGUGGAUUGUUAAGUAAGUUGUGAAUGUGUGGGGUGCAACCGUAAAAGUGCAGUUGAAACUGGCAGUCUUGAGUACAGUAGAGGUGGGCGGAAUUCGUGGUGUAGCGGUGAAAUGCUUAGAUAUCACGAAGAACUCCGAGUGCGAAGGAAGCUGACUGGACUGCAACUGACACCGAUGCUCGAAAGUGUGGGUAGCAAACAGGAUUAGAUACCCGUGUAGUC
rnacentral:rRNA from 1 species